GAUGAACGCUGGCGGCGUGCUUAACACAUGCAAGUCGAACGGUGAAGGCGGAGCUUGCUCUGCUGGAUCAGUGGCGAACGGGUGAGUAACACGUGAGCAAUCUGCCCCUGACUCUGGGAUAAGCGCUGGAAACGGCGUCUAAUACUGGGUACGAGCUGCGAAGGCAUCUUCAGCAGCUGGAAAGAAUUUCGGUCAGGGAUGAGCUCGCGGCCUAUCAGCUUGUUGGUGAGGUAAUGGCUCACCAAGGCGUCGACGGGUAGCCGGCCUGAGAGGGUGACCGGCCACACUGGGACUGAGACACGGCCCAGACUCCUACGGGAGGCAGCAGUGGGGAAUCUUGCGCAAUGGGCGAAAGCCUGACGCAGCCAUGCCGCGUGAAUGAUGAAGGUCUUAGGAUUGUAAAAUUCUUUCACCGGGGACGAUAAUGACGGUACCCGGAGAAGAAGCCCCGGCUAACUUCGUG
rnacentral:rRNA from 1 species